CCUACGGGAGGCAGCAGUGAGGAAUAUUGGUCAAUGGACGAGAGUCUGAACCAGCCAAGUAGCGUGAAGGAUGACUGCCCUAUGGGUUGUAAACUUCUUUUAUAUGGGAAUAAAAUGUUCCACGUGUGGGCUUUUGUAUGUACCAUAUGAAUAAGGAUCGGCUAACUCCGUGCCAGCAGCCGCGGUCAUACGGAGGAUCCGAGCGUUAUCCGGAUUUAUUGGGUUUAAAGGGAGCGUAGGUGGAUUGUUAAGUCAGUUGUGAAAGUUUGCGGCUCAACCGUAAAAUUGCAGUUGAAACUGGCAGUCUUGAGUACAGUAGAGGUGGGCGGAAUUCGUGGUGUAGCGGUGAAAUGCUUAGAUAUCACGAAGAACUCCGAUUGCGAAGGCAGCUCACUGGACUGCAACUGACACUGAGGCUCGAAAGUGUGGGUAUCAAACAGGUUUAGAUACCCGGGUAGUC
rnacentral:rRNA from 1 species